rnacentral:rRNA from 1 species
UACGGGGGGAGCAAGCGUUGUUCGGAAUUACUGGGCGUAAAGGGCGCGCAGGCGGUUGGAUAAGAGAGUGGUGAAAACCCUGGGCUCAACCUAGGGCCUGCCAUUCAGACUGUCUGGCUGGAGUGUGGGAGAGGGAAGUGGAAUUCCUGGUGUAGCGGUGAAAUGCGUAGAUAUCAGGAGGAACACCGGUGGCGAAGGCGGCUUCCUGGACCACAACUGACGCUGAGGCGCGAAAGCCAGGGGAGCAAACAGG